AAACUUACCUGGGGCCGGGUUCAAGGUGAUCAAGAAAGCUCUGACCCCGGGUGGAGGCUCACCAUUGCACGUCGGUGGGUUGAAACUCGCGACGGACCCUAAUCGGGUGCGCUCGGGAGUGUAGUUUUUGUCAGUAGGGAGGCCUCACGGUCCUCUUUU
rnacentral:snRNA from 1 species